rnacentral:rRNA from 1 species
AUGGCUGUCCACCCUAUAUUGCCGUCCAACCAACUCUCCCUCUUGAUUCUUUGUUUCGUUACUGCAGUAGUUGGAUACCCUGCCGUUCGUCCAGAAUUAUCCCAUGAAAUCAGUCUACAGCCAGCGAACUUCCCCAACGAACGCCUCUACCAAGCCUACCUUGCCAUCCAGCGUUUCAAGAACUCCAUAAAUAGUGACCCCAAGAACAUCACUGCCACCUGGUCCGGCAAUGAUAUCUGCAGUGAGAAGACCUAUCUCGGCUUCCACUGCGCAACGCCGCCAGGGUUAGAUGAGAAGCUAACAGUAACGGCGGUUCUUUUUAAUGGCUUUGGCCUGCAUGCGCCGAGGUUGCAAGGCUUCGCCGACCAGCUUCCUGAUCUGGCGAUUUUCCAUGCGUCCUCCAACAACUUUGGCGGCGACAUCCCUCACCUGGACAGCCUGCCGUACCAGUUCGAGUUCAAUACUGCUAAUUACGACAUCCGACGUAUGCUGCCUCGCGGCCGUACUUCCGGCGACGCAAGGGGAGGUAUAGAAGGAAGUCGUGAGACAGACGGUAAAAAACCUGGUAAUCUCCGACCUCCAGCAUGCACUAAUACUUUUCUUAACAUCACAUACCACUUCCGAAUUGGCACCCCGGAAGGAGGAAUCAUUCCGGGCGUUACCGAUGCUAAGGCACUUAUCCUGAACUACAAUAACCUGUCUGGGAAACUUCCAACGAACAUUGGCUUCUUCAAGUUGAGCUAUCUCGCCCUCGCCAACAACAAGCUCAGCGGGUCAAUCCCAACAUCAAUCGCACAAUUGCAAGACUCCCUCCUAGAGGUACUCCUCCUCAACAACCAGCUCUCCGGCUGCCUCCCCAACGAGCUCGGCAUGCUCACCAAGACCGCCGUCAUCGACGCUGGGAUGAACCAGCUCACCGGCCCGAUCCCCUCAUCCUUCUCGUGCCUCAGCAGCGUCGAGCAGCUCAACCUGGCCGGGAACCGCCUGUACGGGCAGGUUCCUGAUGCGCUCUGCAAGCUGGCCGGGCCGGCCGGCCGCCUCUCCAACCUCACGCUGUCGAGCAACUACUUCACGUCGGUCGGGCCGGCGUGCUCGGCACUGAUCAAGGACGGCGUGCUGGACGUGAAGCACAACUGCAUCCCCGGCUUCGCCAAUCAGAGGGGCCCGGCGGAGUGCGCCUCGUUCCUGAGCCAGCCCAAGACGUGCCCGGCGGCGAGCGCUCGCGUGGCUUGCCCCGCCGCGGACGCCAAGAUGAACGCGCCGGCACCGGAGGGGAGGGUGGCCAAGGACUACUCCAGCUACGUGGUGUACGCCACUCUGCAUGAGUGA